rnacentral:rRNA from 1 species
ACGAACGCUGGCGGCGUGCCUAAUACAUGCAAGUCGAACGCUUCUUUCCUCCCGAGUGCUUGCACUCAAUUGGAAAGAGGAGUGGCGGACGGGUGAGUAACACGUGGGUAACCUACCCAUCAGAGGGGGAUAACACUUGGAAACAGGUGCUAAUACCGCAUAACAGUUUAUGCCGCAUGGCCUAAGAGUGAAAGGCGCUUUCGGGUGUCGCUGAUGGAUGGACCCGCGGUGCAUUAGCUAGUUGGUGAGGUAACGGCUCACCAAGGCCACGAUGCAUAGCCGACCUGAGAGGAUGAUCGGCCACACUGGGACUGAGACACGGCCCAGACUCCUACGGGAGGCAGCAGUAGGGAAUCUUCGGCAAUGGGCGAAAGUCUGACCGAGCAACGCCGCGUGAGUGAAGAAGGUUUUCGGAUCGUAAAACUCUGUUGUUAGAGAAGAACAAGGACGUUAGUAACUGAACGUCCCCUGACGGUAUCUAACCAGAAAGCCACGGCUAACUACGUG